UACGUAGGGGGCAAGCGUUAUCCGGAUUUACUGGGUGUAAAGCGAGCGUAGACGGCACUGCAAGUCUGGAGCGAAAGCCCGUGGCCCAUCCACGGGACUGCUCUGGAAACUGUGUUGCUGGAGUGCAGGAGGGGUAAGCGGAAUUCCUAGUGUAGCGGUGAAAUGCGUAGAUAUUAGGAGGAACACCGGUGGCGAAGGCGGCUUACUGGACUGUAACUGACGUUGAGGCUCGAAGGCGUGGGGAGCAAACAGG
rnacentral:rRNA from 1 species